rnacentral:lncRNA from 1 species
GGAAAUUCCAUGCCCUUCCCACAUACCUUGCCCUGUGCAUCCACGUACUGAGAGGAUGACUCACCCCAACUCAGCAGCGACAGAAGCUCCUAUGCUCAGGACCUUCCCAGACUUCCCCCAAGUGUCUCUUCAUCUGGUUGUUCAUCUGUAUCCUUUAUCACAUCCUGUCAUAAACUGGUCAAGCCCAACCCUUUGAGGUGGGUCCUGUUAUCUCCAAAUUAUAGAUGAGAAGACUGAGGGUCAGAAAGGAGCUGUUGCUUGGAACAGGUUAACACAGAACUCAACCCCAGGACCAAACCCAGAGGGGACUUAGGAAAAGCCCAGGUUGAGAACUGCUGCUCCGUUCUCAAUUCUCUCGUUCGCUGUGUCCAGCCGGGAAGCCAAGGCUCUGCACCCUUGUCCUCAGGAGUUCCUGGAUAGCUGAGACACUCGUCUGACUGGGUACAGGAUCAAUUUCUAGAAAUGGAAUUUCUGGUGCAAACAGAUGGAAAGUUUUUAGGGCUUUCACCCUACAGCACAGUGGAACCAAUUUACAGCCCCAGCAGCAGAAUGAAGAUUAGCCCUGAGCUAACAUCCACUGCCAAUCCUCCUCUUUUUGCUGAGGAAGACUGGCCCUGAGCUAACACCCAUGCCCAUCUUCCUCUACUUUAUAUGUGGGACACCUGCCACAGCAUGGCCUGACAAGUCCACACCUGAGAUCACAGCCGGGGAACCCCAGGCCACCGAAGUAGAGCCCUCGAACUUCAAUACGACACUGGAUCUGCCCCAAAGUUGCAUUUCUUUUGUUACUAUUAUUGUUACAAAUGGCUUCACAUGUUUACUGAUCAUUUACACUUAGUUUUAAAUCACAUGUCUGUUAUGCUCCGUGCCUAUUCCUACUGGGGUGGUGUCUUUUUCCUAUUGAUUUGUAAUGAUAUCAACACUUUUUCAGAUAUAUAUUGAAUUGUCCUAAUUUAUCCUUUGCCUAUUAAUUUUGUUUAUGAUUUUUUUGAUGCACAAAAUCUUUUUGCUGUCAUAUUUUUCAAUCUUUCCCUUAUGGUUUCUACUUUUGAUAUUAAACUUAGAAUGGCUUUCCCCACAUGGACAUUAUAUGAGUAUUUUCCUCUAUUAUCUUUUUGGUAUCAUUUAUUAUAUUUAAUUCUUUAUCCCGUUUGAAAUUUAUGUUAGUAUGUGGUUUGGGGAAAGAUCAAAUUCUUAAUUUUCUAAGCCAUAUUUAUUCAUUUCCUACCCAUUUUGAAAUGCCACAUUUGUCAUAUUCUGAAUAUUUAAAGUACACCUUGGGGGGCCGGGCAGGUGGCGCAGCGGUUAAGUGCACACGUUGCGCUUUGGCGGCCCAGGGUUUGCCAGUUCAGAUCCCAGGUGCGGACAUGGCACCGCUUGGCAAGCCAUGCUGUG